UGAAUCUCUACUAAUGAGCAGGUGACCUGAAUCAGGUGUGUUUGAGACAUGCAAAAUGUGCAGUGCUGGGGGUCCUCCAGGAAUGUGGUUGAGAACCACUGAUCUAACACACCUGAUUCCACUCAUCAGCUCGUUAAUAGAGACUGCAAGAACUAAACUGAGACUUACGUCUUAUAUCUUACAUCUAAACUGGGUGUGUCUGAUUAGGGAGACAUACAAAAGGUGCAGGGCAGGGGGUCCUUCAGGACAGGUUUGGGAAGCACUGUCUUACAGAAAACCUGUUUGCAUUGUUACACUUUCAGAUAAAAAUCACUUACUAUUGCAGGCUGGUCCCCACAAUGUCAAAAAUGUCUGGUUUUAUUGUCCUUGUGGGGACAUUUGGUCCCCACAAUGUAGCAUAAACAAGAAGAACACACACACGAACACACACACACACACAAACAUUUCCAUUUGUUGUGGUUCGUUUUGACAGGUAGUGUGGUAGUCUAUUAGAAAAUAGUGACUAAUUAUAGUUCAUCAGGCUGAACAACAUGGCUCUCCUGUCAUCAGGGCCAGUUUGUCAUGACUGUAAAUUGAAUUAUUAUGGUGUCAGAUGCCAGAAUCUCUUUGCACAUUAUCAACCUCAUCAUCAUUAGCACAGCUAUCUUAGGCCUGGAGGAAAGAUCUUACAAUGUAACUUUGUAAUUGUAACCUGCUGGUCUAUUUGCCAUGCCAUGUUGGCCAAUAAAAGUGUGUGUGUUUAUGUGAUUGUUUCUAGCAGACACUUUACUCUUUUUAUGUUUGCUGUGUCAUGUUAGUUGACAUAUAAUGUUACAUGGGCUAACCAACUUGUUCCCUUGAAUAGUGACUGAAAAUAUUUGUCACAGUAAUGUAGGGCUAACUUAUAUUAUUUGACAUAAUUGAACUUUUUAAUGGAGUCAAAUAAUGGUAUAAAAGAAUGUGUAAUAAAUUGGUCAGUUUUUAACACAUGCUUUUGUGUUGGAUAUUGGUUGCAAAAUCUACAGAUAAGGUUUAUGACCUGUUACUUCUGUGUUCUGUCAUUAUUAGUUGUCCCACAAACGUGUUUUUCCCUUUUUCGUUUCUGUAGGACCAGGUGAAGUUGUUGUGUUACUGAAAGUCUUUACCUUCAGUGGUCUAAAAAACAGGAAGUACAGGUUCCUCAGUUUUUCUUGGCCAUUGUAAAUGUAUCUUUAGGAAAUAAUACAGCAGAUUUGCUCUCCUCUCUUGGUUUAAUCUCAAAUGAAACCACCAGCAGCUGUGCUUAUUAUGUAAUAAUGUUCAGGGUUUUUAUACUGCGCAGUGUAAAGUGAUGGAACUGCAUGUGUUUGUGAGUCUGAUGGUGGAUGGGUUCUUCUUUGCCCUGAGUGUGUUAUAUAAGAGGAUGAGGGGACACUGUGAAAUCACAGGUGGUUUUGCAUUGGUGAAAGCAGUCAACCAGAGUCAAUGCCUGUCUGACCCUGAUGCAUGGAGGACAGAUGCUGAUAUAACACUAGUGAUAGGGCCCUACGAAAUCUCUUUAUUUUUCCCAAAUUCCUUUUUCUAUUUUUUUUUUUUUUACAUUUCGUGGUAUUUCUUUUAGUUUUUUUUUACUUAAUUUUUUAAUUUUUUCGUUAGGUAAUUCUUUAGUUUUUAAGUUUAAGGUUUAAAAU
rnacentral:lncRNA from 1 species